rnacentral:rRNA from 1 species
GGGUUGUGAGGUUAAGCGACUAAGCGUACACGGUGGAUGCCCUGGCAGUCAGAGGCGAUGAAGGGCGUGCUAAUCUGCGAUAAGCGCCGGUAAGGUGAUAUGAACCGUUAUAACCGGCGAUACCCGAAUGGGGAAACCCAGUGUGACUCGUCACACUAUCAUUAACUGAAUCCAUAGGUUAAUGAGGCGAACCGGGGGAACUGAAACAUCUAAGUACCCCGAGGAAAAGAAAUCAACCGAGAUUCCCCCAGUAGCGGCGAGCGAACGGGGAGGAGCCCAGAGCCUGAAUCAGCAUGUGUGUUAGUGGAAGCGUCUGGAAAGGCGCGCGAUACAGGGUGACAGCCCCGUACACAAAAGCGCAUGUGCUGUGAGCUCGAUGAGUAGGGCGGGACACGUGGUAUCCUGUCUGAAUAUGGGGGGACCAUCCUCCAAGGCUAAAUACUCCUGACUGACCGAUAGUGAACCAGUACCGUGAGGGAAAGGCGAAAAGAACCCCGGCGAGGGGAGUGAAAAAGAACCUGAAACCGUGUACGUACAAGCAGUGGGAGCACAGGUUUACCUGUGUGACUGCGUACCUUUUGUAUAAUGGGUCAGCGACUUAUAUUCUGUAGCAAGGUUAACCGAAUAGGGGAGCCGCAGGGAAACCGAGUCUUAAUUGGGCGUUAAGUUGCAGGGUAUAGACCCGAAACC